CGGACUAUAAUUGGAUGUAUAAACCGGUGGGAGGCCGGAUAUUAUCUGGGCCGGAUACACCUGGCAACAUCCGGCCGCAUAUAUGUGGCCGGAUAUAACUGGCUGAAUAUACCUGGCCGGCUAUUGCACAAACAUCUGGCCCUUAAACCCACGCUCCCUGCAAGUGGAUCGUGUGGGUGCGCGUGUUCUCUGAUGUGCGUUACAUGCACAUGCACGUAUGUGCCUGUCCCUGACAUGGCUGCACGGAGGCUCUAGCGCCUCCAACCAGGGGAGCCCCUGCAGCCCGUGCGACCAUCACGCCCAAGGUGGCGGCGCCACGCACUAGUGCAACCCUACAGUAUUUGCUAUUGGUAACACUGCCACCAUGACCGCUACAUCAAUCCAGCACAGCUCCUAGCACCACAGAGCCAUCCUACAUCUAGCGCUGUCUGCACAGUGGUUCGGGCGCCGUGGCGGUGUGCCCUGCGAGCACAUACACAUAGCGCCGGAUGUAGAGGCACGUAUGCAUGAUUGCGGUGCUACAAGGGGGGACAACCCGAGCAUGCAGUGUGCACCCAGGGGCCAUGCGGCAUGCACCCUUACAUAUAGACCCUGCCAACACCCUGUCGCCCACCUUCUGAGCAAUACCAACGCCGACUCUGAUACAUACGUCACGACGAUGGAUCCUGCACAUACGACCAGAAGUGGGGUUCGGUCAUGAAACUGCCUCUUGCACCACAACGGGAAAGCACGCCGAGGCGUUUGCCACUGCCAGGAUUUGGACAGACCCCUCCCCCAGCGGACUAACUAUGGAGACACUCACCUAGCGUAGUAUUAUUGCCAGUCACUGAUUCACACAGCGAGUGUGGGCAAAAUUCCUUUCCAUCGUCGGCAUCCUACGUUACAGCGGAGCUUGAUCAGAUGCUAACGAUCGUAGUGCACUACUUUGUGCACUUACUAGUAGUAGACACGCCGCCGGAAGCGCUUGGUCGUGACGCAGGAAAAGCUUUGACCGCAAGAACCUGAACGCUCCUGCUAUAUCAGCCAGUACAUAGGCUGAUGCACCAUUGCAGAGCUACUAGAUAUAGCAGCUUCAUAAGCUGCAUUAUAUAAUAGUCGUCUCUUCCGCCCAGUGAUGUCAAGUCUACUGCUGUAUCAACUCAUUACAAGCUUACACAAAAGUAUAGUGGAGUAGAAUUGAUAGUUAGUUAUGUUUUGGAGGUCUGGCCCUGUCUCUUAAUGUCAGCCCAUGCAGCGGCAAGACCUACGUACGGCAACCCCUCGCUCGGGCAGUGCCCCCAUGUUGUUUCAACCCCAGCUAUCGCUCUGCAACGAUUCAGCUCAAAGACAGCGAUAGCCUGCGAUGCACCGGAUGAUCCCAUGGCUAUAUGCGGUCGCAUAUAGCCAGGCUCAACUAUAUCUGGCCGGGCUUUACCCCGCACCAGGUUUAGCCGGCCCGGAUGUAUCCGGGCACUGCUAUAACCGGACCACUUACAUCCGGCGCCGGCUUUACUCCGCCGCAUAUUACCCCGCCGGCUAUAAUACCCCGGUUAU
rnacentral:lncRNA from 1 species